UCAGCUUGUUGUGAUCCUCCUGGACAUCCAAGUGUUUUCGACAUUGAUGAAGAUUUUGUCAAUCUCUCUCUUGGACCAAACCAAGAAAUGAUGGUUUUAAGAAGAUUAUAGGAUAUGUCAUAGAAUACGAAGACCCCACCACUGGAGGCAGGCUAAUGACUACCCAGUAGAUGAGUGUGUUUAUGAGGUGAAGGGAUUAAAAAAGGACAAGGAAUACAACUUCCACAUACAGGCCAAGAAUCUUGAAGGUUUUUAAAUCAGUGAGUCUAGUGAUGUGAUUGGUCCCAUAACUCCCAAGCCCAAAUACACCAAGGUUUUGCCACCUGUUGUACCAGAGGCUGUCAACAAUUCUAUAACUUAUCUGAAAUGGGAACCACCUAAACAUAAUGGUGGCUGUAAAAUUACAGACUACCUUGUAGAAGAGAGGUUUAAGGGAACAGAGAAAUGAGUACCCCUGCACUGACCCCUCUUUACUGUCACCGAUCUUCCUCAGGACUCAGAGUGGGAGUUUAGAGUUACAGCUGAUAACUUUGCUGGAAACUGUGAGCCCAGUCUGUGCUCACCAGCAUACAAAAUCCA